GGGGAAUUUUCCGCAAUGGGCGCAAUCCUGACGGAGCAAUACCGCGUGAGGGAAGAAGGCUCUUGGGUUGUAAACCUCUUUUCUUAGGGAAGAAAAAAAUGACGGUACCUAAGGAAUAAGCAUCGGCUAACUCCGUGCCAGCAGCCGCGGUAAUACGGAGGAUGCAAGCGUUAUCCGGAAUGAUUGGGCGUAAAGCGUCCGCAGGUGGCAAGUCAAGUUUGCGGUUAAAGGUUCUGGCUCAACCAGGGACAGGCCGUGAAAACUGACUAGCUAGAGUAUGGUAGGGGCAGAGGGAAUUCCCAGUGUAGCGGUGAAAUGCGUAGAGAUUGGGAAGAACACCGGUGGCGAAAGCGCUCUGCUAGGCCAAAACUGACACUGAGGGACGAAAGCUAGGGGAGCGAAUGGGAUUAGAUACCCCAGUAGUCCUAGCCGUAAACGAUGGAUACUAGGUGUAGCUUGUAUCGACCCAAGCUGUGCCGUAGCUAACGCGUUAAGUAUCC
rnacentral:rRNA from 1 species